rnacentral:siRNA from 1 species
CAGCCGCUGGACCCUACCUCC